CUCCACGGAAUCUGCAGAGCGAGGGACGGAUAAAGGGUAUGAGAGCGCUGGGAUUACCGCCUUCGCGAACCCGUCGCGAUUUCCACACCUAGCCUGUGACCCCUGGCCCUUCCUGCCCACUUCCGUCCCCUCAGCCAGGCCCGAACCGCACCCCCCGCCCCGCCACCGUGCCUCUGGCUCUCACCCCGAAGCAGCACCAGGCCGCCCAAGGCCAACAGCGAGUCCAACAUCUCC
rnacentral:lncRNA from 1 species